rnacentral:lncRNA from 1 species
CGCAGAUCAUCAUCAGUCACUGGUUAAGCAUCAAAGAGACCGCCUCGAUCGUCGACCCGUCAAGUGUUCCGCCAGACGAUUGGCCAGCAGAAGUUUAGCUAAUUGUGUUUUCUUGUGGUAUAAACCGUCUCACCAGUGAUAAGUAUCGGCGUGGAAAAUUAACCGCACUGGAGUGCGAGGUGCCGCGAUACCGAAAAUUGGUCGCGGUGGAGAGUGAGGUGGCGUCUACUAUCAGCAUGGAAAGCAUGGCCAUGCUGGAGUAGUUGGAUAAUUUGAGAUCGGCCUUCAUUUCCUGUUUCGCAAGCUAAAUUCCAUCAUGGCUGGAGCCGUGGUGUGGAGCAGUGCGCUGCUGUGCAUUCCUGCCGACUGGACGGCGGGGCAAAUGCACCGGAUGGCCGGCGUUCUCGCCGGUGACCAAGCUGGGUUCUGCCCGGGCAGCAACGUUGUUCCGGAUCGUCGAGGGAUACACGGGGGGUCACACACACACACAGGUUUACACCCGCAACUCUAGUUUUAAGGACGCCAACUAGGUUUAGUUCGCCAAUAUAGAUGUAAGUACGCUAAAA